rnacentral:rRNA from 1 species
AUUGAACGCUGGCGGCAUGCUUUACACAUGCAAGUCGAACGGUAACAGGCCGCAAGGUGCUGACGAGUGGCGAACGGGUGAGUAAUGCAUCGGAACGUGCCCAGUCGUGGGGGAUAACUACUCGAAAGAGUAGCUAAUACCGCAUACGAUCUAUGGAUGAAAGCGGGGGACCGUAAGGCCUCGCGAGAUUGGAGCGGCCGAUGUCAGAUUAGGUAGUUGGUGGGGUAAAGGCUCACCAAGCCAACGAUCUGUAGCUGGUCUGAGAUGACGACCAGCCAAACUGGGACUUAGACACGGCCCAGACUCCUACGGGAGGCAGCAGUGGGGAAUGUUGGACAAUGGGCUCAAGCCUGAUCCAGCAAUGCCGCGUGCAGGAAGAAGGCCUUCGGGUUGUAAACUGCUUUUGUACGGAACGAAACGGCUCUGGUUAAUACCCGGGGCUAAUGACGGUACCGUAAGAAUAAGCACCGGCUAACUACGUGCCAGCAGCCGCGGUAA